ensembl:ncRNA T20G5.17 ncRNA
AGUGAUUGGAGUUUUCGUAUCAUUCCAGACUUUGAGUCCAAAAAUAUUUCCAUCAUCCUUUCCAUCAAACUCUUGAACCAAAUCUCCACUAACUCGUUUUGCAGCUCUCGCCUUUGCUUUUGCUCGGCAACCACAGCAACCACAUGCACC